rnacentral:rRNA from 1 species
CCCGGGAGGGGAGUGAAAUAGAACCUGAAACCCUGCACUUACAAGCUGUGGAAGCACAUUUCUUGUGUGACCGCGUACUUUUUGUAGAACGGGCCAACGAGUUACGUUAAGUAGCAAGGUUAAGCACUUAAGGUGCGGAGCCGUAGCGAAAGCGAGUUUUAACUGAGCGUUCAGUUAUUUGACGUAGACCCGAAACCGGGCGACCUACCCAUGAGCAGGAUGAAGCGAAAGUAAAAUUUCGUGGAGGUCCGAACCCACGAGCGUUGAAAAGCUCGGGG